GAAGUCUCUCAGCCUCACUCACCUCACAGAGUGUUUGUUGUGGGGGAGGAAGGGAAAGGAGAUUGUUGGCCGCUUUGAGACUCCUUCGGGUAGUGAUAAAGCGGGAUAUCAAAUCCAAACUCUUCUUCUUCUUAUUAUUUCCCUUCUUCCCCCGCAACAAACACUCUGUGAGGUGAGUGAGGCUGAGAGACUUC